UCUCUCCUCCAGGCCCGUGUGUCCCCAGCCAGCUGAGGCCAUGCCUGCCCCGGGGACCGUCUGCAGCCUGCUGCUCCUCAGUACACUCCGGGUGGACUUGGCCAUGGUGGGCCCCAGCUCCCUGAGCCUCAAACAUCAGAGAGUGCAGCAGAGAAAGGAAUCCAAGAAGCCAGCAGUCACGCUGAAGCCCUGAGGCCCUGGGAGGCUGGCUUGGCCCAGAAGUCAGGCAGAAAGUGCAGAAGAUGAACUGGAAAUCCAGAAAGCCCGAUCAGCAAGUGACCGACCCUGAGGCCAGCCACCUCUCUGUUCUCCCAGAAGUGCUUCACUGGAUACCAGAACACUUUUGAGACCACACCCAGCUCUGAGGGGUACUAGCCCAAGAAUCAAUGCUCAAACUGGAUGCUGAAGGUGCAAAACGUUUACUUCACCAAAGAGGAAGAUUUCACAUUUCACUGAAAAACAACUCCCCCAGCCAGCCAAUUCUUGGUCUGUGGUCAAUAGGAAGAGAAAAAAAUGAACAUGUAGCAAGGUGUGCAUGCUUAGAGAACCAAAUUAGAGCCACACCUUCAGUGGAGAAGUUUACUGGGGGGAUAUAGGAGCAGAGGAGGGGGACAGAAAGGGGGAAGGAAGGGUGAGACAGGAAAAGAAGACAGGCAAAGGGUCCUUUAAAUACCAGAGCUUCUCAAGUGCAAAGAAAGGUACAUGAAGAGCUUCUUAACAACCAGUGAGGCCUGUGUGAGCAGGGGAACUUCUGGUGACACUAUCAGAGCCGCUGACCUGACAUUCAAGGGCAGAACAGAUGCUGGGAAUUGUGAAAGCGUGAGUCUGAAGCUGGACACACUGGGGUGCGAACACCAGAGCCACUCCCAGAAGCGGCUGACCUGGCCCCUUCCCCCUCCUCCCGGCCCA